GUAGUCUCGCACAGAUGCAUAUCAAUAAGCGGAGGAAAAGAAACUAACAAGGAUUCCCCUAGUAACGGCGAGUGAAGCGGGAAGAGCUCAAAUUUGAAAUCUUAAAGGGUUUCCCUUUACGAAUUGUAGUUUAAAGAAGUGUUUUCUGUUGAGGUUUUGGUAAAAGUUCUUUGGAAUAGGACAUCAUAGAGGGUGAGAAUCCCGUAUUUGACCUUUACUUUCAACUUUGUGAUACACUUUCAAAGAGUCGGAUUGUUUGGGAAUGCAGUCCAAAAUGGGUGGUAAAUUUCAUCUAAAGCUAAAUAUUGGCGAGAGACCGAUAGCGAACAAGUACCGUGAGGGAAAGAUGAAAAGAACUUUGAAAAGAGAGUUAAACAGUACGUGAAAUUGUCAAAAGGGAAGCGUUUGACACCAGUGUUGUUUUUCUGAAAAUCAAUUAAAGAACUGUUUAUGCUAAGUUGUUUAGACUUUAUCAGCUAACUGUUUAGUUUUGAGCUUUUCUUUAAUGCACUUUUCAGUUAACAAGUCAACAUCAAUUUCUUUUGCUGUAAAAAAGCUUGAGGAAGGUGGCUUGAGAUUCGUCUUAAGUGUUUAUAGCCUCUUGCCUAUGCAGUCGGAGAGAUUGAGGUCUGCAGCGUAGAUCCUUCGGGGCUAAAUGCAUUUGUGCUAAGUUAUAGCAUUUCAUAGACAACUUGUUGACUAUGAUUUGUCUUGUAGCUUACUCGCUUAUGUUAUUUUACCUACGCUUAGGAUGUUGAUCUGUAGUGCGUGCGC
rnacentral:rRNA from 1 species